AAGGACCUUAUCAUCACCGUUUCAGCUAGCUUCAUACUUCCAUAUGGCGAAGAGGCAAACAAGUGUAUGGUCAAUAUGAGGCUAGUGCAGAAACGCAUCUAAAUAUGUACGUACGUGUUUUGCGCAUGGUCAUUCCAGGAAUGUAAAUUGUGUUUUCUAAUGUAUUUCCUGACAAAAUUAUAUUUGUGCUGAAAAUAUAAUUCUGUUACGUUUA